UACGUAGGGGGCAAGCGUUGUCCGGAUUUAUUGGGCGUAAAGAGCGUGUAGGCGGCCGUACAGGUCAGCUGUGAAAACUCGAGGCUCAACCUCGAGACGUCGGUUGAAACCGUACGGCUAGAGUCCGGAAGAGGAGAGUGGAAUUCCCGGUGUAGCGGUGAAAUGCGCAGAUAUCGGGAAGAACACCCGUGGCGAAGGCGGCUCUCUGGGACGGUACUGACGCUGAGACGCGAAAGCGUGGGGAGUGAACAGG
rnacentral:rRNA from 1 species